AUUGAACGCUGGCGGCAGGCCUAACACAUGCAAGUCGAGCGAGCGGCGGACGGGUGAGUAAUGUCUGGGAAACUGCCUGAUGGAGGGGGCUAACUACUGGAAACGGUAGCUAAUACCGCAUACCAUCAGAUGUGCCCAGAUGGGAUUAGCUAGUAGGUGUGGUACCGGCUCACCUAGGCGACGAUCCCUAGCUGGUCUGAGAGGAAGACCAGCCACACUGGAACGGAGACACGGUCCAGAGCCAUAAGGGAGGCAGCAGUGGGGAAUAUUGCACAAGGGGCGGAGCCCUGAUGCAGCCAUGCCGCGUGGGUGAAGAAGGCCGUCGGGUUGGAAAGCACUUUCAGCUGGGAGGCGGUACCCGAAGAAGAAGCACCGGCUAACUCCGUGCCAGCCGCCGCGGUAAUAC
rnacentral:rRNA from 1 species